rnacentral:lncRNA from 1 species
GGAAGGAGCUGCAUUUUCAGAUUUUCCCAUGCUUCAAAGGCCAGAGAGCUGGAGAGGACAGUCAUCAAAUGGAGAAAAAUCUUCUGAUUGACAGUAAGAAGGAAGUCACACUGGGAAACCUGGGGUGUAGUCAGCACUGAUCUUUUCCUUUCUGCCAAACACCUUGGAAGGACAAGGUUAGAAUUCUGAAGAGAAAGAUGAGGAAGACCCUUAGGAGAAUUAUUUCCAUGAGAAAAUAAGGGUGAAGCUGGCAUGAAAGACAAUUCCUAAGAGACACAAGAACAAGAGCUGGAAAUUUGUCUCCUAGUAGUCAUGGGGGAUGAAGAAGUGGCAAUUCUCAAAGACUGUCUAGCAGGAGGUCUGGAUUCCAACGAGAUCGUAAAAAAGGAGACGGGACCCACUUAUACAAAAACAUUUAUAGCGGUUCUUUUUGUGGUGGCAAAGAACUGGAAAUUGAAGGGAUACCCAUCUGUUGGGGAAUGGAAUGGCUGAACAAACUGUGGUACAUGUUAGUGGUGGAAUGCUAUUGUACUAUAAGAAAUGAUAAGCAGGAUGAUUUCAGAAAAAGCAGGAAAGAGCUAUAUGACAUGAUGCAGAGCGAAAUCAGCAGAACCAGGAGAUAGAUACAC